rnacentral:rRNA from 1 species
AGAGUUUGAUCCUGGCUCAGAACGAACGCUGGCGGCGCGUCUUAACCAUGCAAGUCGAGCGGCAGGCAGCAAUGCCGAGAGCGGCGGACUGGUGAGUAACACGUGGGUGACGUACCCUUCAGACCGGGAUAGCCUGUAGAAAUAGAGGAUAAUACCGGGUACGGUCGCAUACAUCAGAGGUAUGCGAGGAAAGGAGCUCCGGCUCCGCUGAAGGAACGGCCUGCGGCCCAUCAGCUAGUUGGCGGGGUAACGGCCCACCAAGGCGACAACGGGUAUCCGGCCUAAGAGGGCGAACGGACACAUUGGGACUGAGAUACGGCCCAGACUCCUACGGGAGGCAGCAGGUAAGAAUAUUCCGCAAUGGGCGAAAGCCUGACGGAGCGACGCCGCGUGGAUGAGGAAGGCCGAAAGGUUGUAAAAUCCUUUUAUAACUGACGAAUAAGUGUGCGAGGAAAUGAGCGCAUGGUGACGGUAGGUUAUGAAUAAGCACCGGCUAAUUACGUGCCAGCAGCCGCGGUAACACGUAAGGUGCAAGCGUUGUUCGGAAUUAUUGGGCGUAAAGGGCAUGUAGGCGGAAAAUCAAGCUUGGUGUGAAAUCCCGGGGCUCAACUCCGGAACUGCAUUGAGAACUGGUUAACUAGAGUCACUGAGGGGCAGCCAGAAUUCCAGGUGUAGGGGUGAAAUCUGUAGAUAUCUGGAAGAAUACCAAUGGCGAAGGCAGGCUGCCAGCAGAUGACUGACGCUGAGGUGCGAAGGUGCGGGGAGCAAACAGGAUUAGAUACCCUGGUAGUCCGCACAGUAAACGAUGUACACUGGGUGUUUGACCAUGAGGUUGGGUGCCAAAGCUAACGUGAUAAGUGUACCGCCUGGGGAGUAUGCCCGCAAGGGUGAAACUCAAAGGAAUUGACGGGGGCCCGCACAAGCGGUGGAGCAUGUGGUUUA